CUUUAACCUCUGGAAAAACAACAGUCUAUAUGAAAAUGAGAGGAAUAAAUAUGACUACUUUUAACAGGUACUGACAAGGUGGAAGUUACCUUUCAUGCACCAUGGACGCCCUGUAUGGAUUAAUGACUCUUUUGGACACAACACUUUGGACAUAUGUUGUUUUUCGACUAAAAGUUCUUCAGCAGUCUUUUAUAGAAAGCCACAGCACCGAGCAGAGGCUCUCGAGCUGACAACUUAAAUGGGUCUUGAGGAGGACAACAAAUACCAUUUAAAAUGGCAGGCUCUUCCACUGGGGAGUUUCACGACAAGUCU